rnacentral:rRNA from 1 species
AUUGAACGCUGGCGGCAUGCUUUACACAUGCAAGUCGAACGGUAACAGGCCGCAAGGUGCUGACGAGUGGCGAACGGGUGAGUAAUGCAUCGGAACGUGCCCAGUCGUGGGGGAUAACGCAGCGAAAGCUGUGCUAAUACCGCAUACGAUCUAUGGAUGAAAGCGGGGGACCGUAAGGCCUCGCGCGAUUGGAGCGGCCGAUGUCAGAUUAGGUAGUUGGUGGGGUAAAGGCUCACCAAGCCAACGAUCUGUAGCUGGUCUGAGAGGACGACCAGCCACGCUGGGACUGAGACACGGCCCAGACUCCUACGGGAGGCAGCAGUGGGGAAUUUUGGACAAUGGGCGCAAGCCUGAUUCAGCAAUGCCGCGUGCAGGAAGAAGGCCUUCGGGUUGUAAACUGCUUUUGUACGGAACGAAAAGGUUUGGGUUAAUACCCUGGGCCGAUGACGGUACCGUAAGAAUAAGCACCGGCUAACUACGUGCCAGCCGCCGCGGUAA